AUUUAAAUAGUUUAAUUUAAAAAUAUUGAUUUGUGGAAUCAAAGUUAUAAUGUAUUAUUUUAAAUA
rnacentral:tRNA from 1 species